AUGAUCCCAGACAUCACCACCUUGACUUUCUUUGUACUCUGGGCUGCAGGUGUUUCUCAGUCUGUGUUGAUCACUCAGUGGCCCCGCUACAUCUCCAGGCUUCCCAAUGGCUCGGCAGAAAUGCACUGCUAUCAGAAUGACACUGAUUAUGAAUAUCUGUACUGGUACAGACAGCUGAGAGGAAAAGAUAUUCAGUUAGUGGUUUAUUUAGUAGCUGGUUCUGCAACCUUUGAAGAAGAAUUCAAAUCUGGUUUUCAGGCAGUGACACUGACGGAGAAGCAGUGGUCUCUGACAAUAUCCAGCGUUCAGGAGAAAGAUGAGGCUGUUUAUCUGUGCGCUGCAAGUCUACACAGUGCUGUGGAAGACCUCAGGUCUGUGACAAAAACAUACAACCCAGAAGCUGUUUAUUGUUCUGACACCUGA